rnacentral:rRNA from 1 species
GAUGAACGCUGGCGGCGUGCCUAAUACAUGCAAGUCGAGCGAACGGACGAGAAGCUUGCUUCUCUGAUGUUAGCGGCGGACGGGUGAGUAACACGUGGAUAACCUACCUAUAAGACUGGGAUAACUUCGGGAAACCGGAGCUAAUACCGGAUAAUAUUUUGAACCGCAUGGUUCAAAAGUGAAAGACGGUCUUGCUGUCACUUAUAGAUGGAUCCGCGCUGCAUUAGCUAGUUGGUAAGGUAACGGCUUACCAAGGCAACGAUGCAUAGCCGACCUGAGAGGGUGAUCGGCCACACUGGAACUGAAACACGGUCCAGACUCCUACGAGAGGCAGCAGUAGGGAAUCUUCCGCAAUGGGCGAAAGCCUGACGGAGCAACGCCGCGUGAGUGAUGAAGGUCUUCGGAUCGUAAAACUCUGUUAUUAGGGAAGAACAUAUGUGUAAGUAACUGUGCACAUCUUGACGGUACCUAAUCAGAAAGCCACGGCUAACUACGUG